GCAGUCUUGACUUUUUCCCCAUUAAACCCAACAUUUUCUCCCAUAUGUCCCUUCCAUGCCCUUACAGGAACUUCUGGAGUAGCAAAUUUCACAAUUUUGGAGAAUAUGAUGGAAAUUUGUUCCCAGCAUGCAAAUGCUAUGUUUGGGUAAUUGUGUAUAACAGCUCUAAGGGCCUGGAGAGCUUCAAAGCAUAUGGUUGAGC
rnacentral:misc_RNA from 1 species